GUUAAUUGGGCAGAUGGCAUUAUCCCCUCUCCUCGCAUUUUACAGGUGAGGAAAGUGAGAUCCAGACAGGGCAAAUGACUGUCCAUUCACAAAGCUAGUCAGAGGCAAAGCUGGCCAGGAACUUAGGUCUGUCCCAGGCCAGGGCCGUGGAAGGAAUGACCUAAAGGAGAGGAGUCAUUGGGAUAAGGCCAGUCUCUCACAUUCUUCAACUUUUCUCCUCUGGUCCCUGUUCUUUCCCUCCAUUCCCUGAAGUAGGCAAUGACACUGUGCUCCCUAACACCUGACACCCGUGCCAUGGCCAGCUCCUAUAUCAGCUCAAGUUUCCUGAGGAUUGAGUUGCUAACAGGGUUGGGAUGGUGGGUACCUGAGUCCCUGGGAGGAUGAGAAGGAAGCAGGAGAAGGAAGCAGGUAGUCCCUAAUACACAUAAGGAUGGGGCAGGAGGUGGAGUCAAAGGGGGCUCAGCUCUGGGCCUAUAGAAGGCAGACUCUUGGGCGCCUGGGUGGAGCACUCUGGAAUGAGCAUGGCUUUUGGAAGGACAGCGCCAUAUGCAGGCAGGUGCUGGUGGGCAUCUCCACCUCAGACCUAGCCAGGGCCUCUUCCCCUUAAAGGCCCUCCUCAUAUGAAGACAUUCACUGGGGAGACCUCGCUGUGCCCUGGCUGUGGGGAGCCCGUCUAUUUUGCUGAGAAGGUGAUGUCAUUAGGCAGAAAUUGGCACCGACCGUGUCUGAGGUGCCAGCGUUGCCACAAGACCCUGACUGCUGGGAGUC
rnacentral:sRNA from 1 species